UUAAGCGACUAAGCGUACACGGUGGAUGCCCUGGCAGUCAGAGGCGAUGAAGGACGUGCUAAUCUGCGAUAAGCGUCGGUAAGGUGAUAUGAACCGUUAUAACCGGCGAUUUCCGAAUGGGGAAACCCAGUGUGNNCACACUAUCAUUAACUGAAUCCAUAGGUUAAUGAGGCGAACCGGGGGAACUGAAACAUCUAAGUACCCCGAGGAAAAGAAAUCAACCGAGAUUCCCCCAGUAGCGGCGAGCGAACGGGGAGCAGCCCAGAGCCUGAAUCAGUAUGUGUGUUAGUGGAAGCGUCUGGAAAGGCGCGCGAUACAGGGUGACAGCCCCGUACACAAAAAUGCACAUAUUGUGAGCUCGAUGAGUAGGGCGGGACACGUGGUAUCCUGUCUGAAUAUGGGGGGACCAUCCUCCAAGGCUAAAUACUCCUGACUGACCGAUAGUGAACCAGUACCGUGAGGGAAAGGCGAAAAGAACCCCGGCGAGGGGAGUGAAAAAGAACCUGAAACCGUGUACGUACAAGCAGUGGGAGCACGCUUAGGCGUGUGACUGCGUACCUUUUGUAUAAUGGGUCAGCGACUUAUAUUCUGUAGCAAGGUUAACCGAAUAGGGGAGCCGAAGGGAAACCGAGUCUUAACUGGGCGUUAAGUUGCAGGGUAUAGACCCGAAACCCGGUGAUCUAGCCAUGGGCAGGUUGAAGGUUGGGUAACACUAACUGGAGGACCGAACCGACUAAUGUUGAAAAAUUAGCGGAUGACUUGUGGCUGGGGGUGAAAGGCCAAUCAAACCGGGAGAUAGCUGGUUCUCCCCGAAAGCUAUUUAGGUAGCGCCUCGUGAAUUCAUCUCCGGGGGUAGAGCACUGUUUCGGCAAGGGGGUCAUCCCGACUUACCAACCCGAUGCAAACUGCGAAUACCGGAGAAUGUUAUCACGGGAGACACACGGCGGGUGCUAACGUCCGUCGUGAAGAGGGAAACAACCCAGACCGCCAGCUAAGGUCCCAAAGUCAUGGUUAAGUGGGAAACGAUGUGGGAAGGCCCAGACAGCCAGGAUGUUGGCUUAGAAGCAGCCAUCAUUUAAAGAAAGCGUAAUAGCUCACUGGUCGAGUCGGCCUGCGCGGAAGAUGUAACGGGGCUAAACCAUGCACCGAAGCUGCGGCAGCGACGCUGAUGCGUUGUUGGGUAGGGGAGCGUUCUGUAAGCCUGCGAAGGUGUGCUGUGAGGCAUGCUGGAGGUAUCAGAAGUGCGAAUGCUGACAUAAGUAACGAUAAAGCGGGUGAAAAGCCCGCUCGCCGGAAGACCAAGGGUUCCUGUCCAACGUUAAUCGGGGCAGGGUGAGUCGACCCCUAAGGCGAGGCCGAAAGGCGUAGUCGAUGGGAAACAGGUUAAUAUUCCUGUACUUGGUGUUACUGCGAAGGGGGGACGGAGAAGGCUAUGUUGGCCGGGCGACGGUUGUCCCGGUUUAAGCGUGUAGGCUGGUUUUCCAGGCAAAUCCGGAAAAUCAAGGCUGAGGCGUGAUGACGAGGCACUACGGUGCUGAAGCAACAAAUGCCCUGCUUCCAGGAAAAGCCUCUAAGCAUCAGGUAACAUCAAAUCGUACCCCAAACCGACACAGGUGGUCAGGUAGAGAAUACCAAGGCGCUUGAGAGAACUCGGGUGAAGGAACUAGGCAAAAUGGUGCCGUAACUUCGGGAGAAGGCACGCUGAUAUGUAGGUGAAGUCCCUUGCGGAUGGAGCUGAAAUCAGUCGAAGAUACCAGCUGGCUGCAACUGUUUAUUAAAAACACAGCACUGUGCAAACACGAAAGUGGACGUAUACGGUGUGACGCCUGCCCGGUGCCGGAAGGUUAAUUGAUGGGGUCAGCGCAAGCGAAGCUCUUGAUCGAAGCCCCGGUAAACGGCGGCCGUAACUAUAACGGUCCUAAGGUAGCGAAAUUCCUUGUCGGGUAAGUUCCGACCUGCACGAAUGGCGUAAUGAUGGCCAGGCUGUCUCCACCCGAGACUCAGUGAAAUUGAACUCGCUGUGAAGAUGCAGUGUACCCGCGGCAAGACGGAAAGACCCCGUGAACCUUUACUAUAGCUUGACACUGAACAUUGAGCCUUGAUGUGUAGGAUAGGUGGGAGGCUUUGAAGUGUGGACGCCAGUCUGCAUGGAGCCGACCUUGAAAUACCACCCUUUAAUGUUUGAUGUUCUAACGUUGACCCGUAAUCCGGGUUGCGGACAGUGUCUGGUGGGUAGUUUGACUGGGGCGGUCUCCUCCUAAAGAGUAACGGAGGAGCACGAAGGUUGGCUAAUCCUGGUCGGACAUCAGGAGGUUAGUGCAAUGGCAUAAGCCAGCUUGACUGCGAGCGUGACGGCGCGAGCAGGUGCGAAAGCAGGUCAUAGUGAUCCGGUGGUUCUGAAUGGAAGGGCCAUCGCUCAACGGAUAAAAGGUACUCCGGGGAUAACAGGCUGAUACCGCCCAAGAGUUCAUAUCGACGGCGGUGUUUGGCACCUCGAUGUCGGCUCAUCACAUCCUGGGGCUGAAGUAGGUCCCAAGGGUAUGGCUGUUCGCCAUUUAAAGUGGUACGCGAGCUGGGUUUAGAACGUCGUGAGACAGUUCGGUCCCUAUCUGCCGUGGGCGCUGGAGAACUGAGGGGGGCUGCUCCUAGUACGAGAGGACCGGAGUGGACGCAUCACUGGUGUUCGGGUUGUCAUGCCAAUGGCACUGCCCGGUAGCUAAAUGCGGAAGAGAUAAGUGCUGAAAGCAUCUAAGCACGAAACUUGCCCCGAGAUGAGUUCUCCCUGACCCUUUAAGGGUCCUGAAGGAACGUUGAAGACGACGACGUUGAUAGGCCGGGUGUGUAAGCGCAGCGAUGCGUUGAGCUAACCGGUACUAAUGAACCGUGAGGCUUAACCUU
rnacentral:rRNA from 1 species